rnacentral:rRNA from 1 species
AUUGAACGCUGGCGGCAUGCCUUACACAUGCAAGUCGAGCGGCAGCGGGGACUUCGGUCCGCCGGCGAGUGGCGAACGGGUGAGUAAUGUAUCGGAACGUACCAUUCAGUGGGGGAUAACUAUCCGAAAGGAUAGCUAAUACCGCAUAUUCUGUGAGCAGGAAAGCAGGGGAUCGCAAGACCUCGCGCUGAUUGAGCGGCCGAUAUCAGAUUAGCUAGUUGGUGAGGUAACGGCACACCAAGGCUACGAUCUGUAGCGGGUCUGAGAGGAUGAUCCGCCACACUGGGACUGAGACACGGCCCAGACUCCUACGGGAGGCAGCAGUGGGGAAUUUUGGACAAUGGGCGCAAGCCUGAUCCAGCCAUGCCGCGUGAGUGAAGAAGGCCUUCGGGUUGUAAAGCUCUUUCGGCCGGGAAGAAAUCGCAUCAGCUAAUACCUGGUGUGGAUGACGGUACCGGAAUAAGAAGCACCGGCUAACUACGUGCCAGCCGCCGCCGUAAGAC